CUGCUCAUUUUAGCAGUAUAUACACUAAAAUUCAUACAAUACAGAGAAGACGACCAUGGCCUCUGUGCAAGGAUGACAUGCAAAUUUGUGAAAUGUUCCAUAUUUUU
ensembl:snRNA U6 U6 spliceosomal RNA